AUCAUGACAACGCUACUAGUGAAACAUCUAAUACAAUGCAGAGCCCAAUUGCAGAUGGCGACCAAAACUCACUAACUGCAAUGAGCAUCCAGAGUUCAACUUCAGCAUCUGAUGCAACAAUACAAGAAACUGUAACUAGGGAAGAGACAACAAAAGAAUGUGAGAAAACACGUAAACCUCUUCGUGGAUUUUCUCUCUUACUGUCAAUGUCUGAUCCCAAAGAAGAUGACAGAGCAUCCAAGGGGCAGGCG
rnacentral:misc_RNA from 1 species